UACGGAGGGUGCAGGCGUUAUCCGGAUUCACUGGGUUUAAAGGGUGCGUAGGCGGGCAGGUAAGUCCGUGGUGAAAUCUCUGAGCUUAACUCAGAAACUGCCAUGGAUACUAUUUGUCUUGAAUAUUGUGGAGGUGAGCGGAAUAUGUCAUGUAGCGGUGAAAUGCUUAGAUAUGACAUAGAACACCAAUUGCGAAGGCAGCUUACUACACAGUUAUUGACACUGAGGCACGAAAGCGUGGGGAUCAAACAGG
rnacentral:rRNA from 1 species